GCUCAUUUCGGCAGCGCAUAUAUCAAAAUUGGAAUGAUCCAGAGAAGAUUCGCGCGGCCCCUGCCCAAGCACGACAUACCAACUCGGGAAGCGUCCCGCAUUUUU